GAAACCAUAAAACAGUAGGCGAGUAAUCCCCGGAUGUCCUACUGCUUCAGCGAAGAUUCUGAAGGGUUCAUCGAGGGAUACUUUUCAAUCCCAGAAUGCCACGCGAAAGGGAUGAAUCGUCAUCUAACGUGAAGGAGAGCAGCGUAGAGGGUGUUUACAAAGGGACAGAUGAGACACAUGUGUUUAUCUGCUGCAGAGAGACUGAUGAAGAAAUGCUGCCAUCAAAGAUUCUCAAUAUUUUGUGGUGGAGCAGGUGACCGCAGCAUCUGUGGAAAAAACCUUAAAGAAAAAUCCAAAGAUCUGAAAUGUCUGCAGACUGCCGUGUGCACUGAAGAUGGAGUGUCAUGGGUGAAAUGCUCCAUCACUGCAUCUCCACUUGUUUUCUCAUCAGGACCAGAUGAUGAUGUGGUCUCUUCAUCUUCAGUGACCCCAGAGCCAGCGAGAACAUCUAGAGAAACACCAAAAGACACUGAGGAUGUGAUUUAGGUCAAGUUUGUUCUGUGGUUUCUGUUCAUACAACAUCAGUCAAUAAAGCCUGAGGUUCAGAAGUUUCUAAAGUAUCAUCAAAUAAUGUCAUGAAGAAUCUGAAAGUCAGGCUCCAUUGACUGAUACUGUAUGAACACAAACCAGCAGGAGAAACCGGACCAACAUCACCUUUUAUGUUCAGGCAAAGUAUUGAUCAGAAUGGAGGCAAGUCAUUAAUGACUGAAUUUAUAUGUUUAGAUGACCUGACCCUUUAAAACCCCAAAUAGAAACUGUAUUAAAUGUAUGCAUGCAUUAAUAUUAUAGUAGAACAUUGAAGAAAAGAAGCUUUAAGAAAUAAGCAGCUUUAUUAAGCAUUUUUCUGCCCAAGACACACAAAAAAAGCAUUCACAAAAUUCACAUUUACAUGUAUUAAUUUACCAGAGACUUUUAUCUGAAGUGACUUACAGUGCUGUUAUUACAGGAUCUCAAUCCCUCUGGAGUCACCUGGAGUAAAGACACACCGGUGGAGAUUGAACCAGAAACUGCUCACCAGUUCAGUUCACUAAAUCACAGAAAUAAUGAAGCUUUAUCAAAUUAACAUGCAAUUGUAAAAAUAUCAAAUUUAAUUCAGCAAUAAAUAGAAUGCUGACAACAUGACAAAGUGUUUUACUCUGUGUAAGUGUUUUCCAGGUCGUGGAGCUCAUGGAGAGCAGACACAGCAGCAGUCAGAUCGUCCCGCACAUGUUCUCCUGCUCGUGUUCAGGGUUGUGUGGUUCAGGGUCUUCAUCAUGGUCUUCCUCAUCCUCUCAGUGCACUCAGACAAGGACUCGAUGUCCCUCUCUCAUCAUGAUCAGAUUCAGUCUGACUGCAGCAGUGAGGGAUGUGAUGGACGGAUGUGGAUUCACCGUCUGUAAACAUUCAAAUACAGAACUAUUUCUGAAUAAAGUUUUGUUUCAUGUG